rnacentral:rRNA from 1 species
GACGAACGCUGGCGGCGUGCUUAACACAUGCAAGUCGAACGAAGUGGCGAACGGGUGAGUAAUACGUGGUUAACCUGCCCUCCUUUUUGGGAUAAGCCUUGGAAACGGGGUCUAAUACCUAAUAACGGGGGCUGGGCUCGCGGCCUAUCAGCUGUUUGGUGGGGGGAGGGGCUACCAAGGCGGUGACGGGUAGCAGGCCUGAGAGGGCGACCGGGAACGUGGGGACGGAGAUACGGCCUAGGCUCGCAAGGGAGGGAGCAGUGGGGGAUAGGGGACAAUGGGUGACAGAGGGAUGCAGCGAUGCCGAGUGGGGGAUGAAGGCUUUCGGGUUGUAAACGUCUUUCGCUAUCGAACGGGUAGGUGGAGAAGAAGCGCCGGCUAACUACGUGCCAGCAGCCGCGGUAAUAC